GAGGAUAUUUCUUGCUGGAGCUCCUUGCUUUCUUGAGGUCUUCUAAAGGAGGCAUCAAAAAAUAAAGAAGAGCUCAUGCCAUCUUUUGCUUUUAUUGUUGCAUAUCGUUCAUGUUCUGGAUGACAGCACAGAUUUAAGAAGAACUUCAUACCACGGUGUGUUUUUCUCUGAAGUGCAAAAAAAUGAGUUUUGCACCCUCCAGCUCUUCAAGGUUGCAAGCAAACCUCCAGCAAGAACAGAACUUCUGCCUGAUCUGUUCCACCUCAGUCAUCACCUGACCCUGCAGGAAAGAGUCUGCUAUGGCUGUUAGAUGAACGAUGAGUGACUAGAAAAACUUAUGGAUAAUAUCACUAAGGCAAGAGGGAUUUCAUUUGUUGGAUGCCAGGAGUCUAGGUUGUCUGCUGCAACACUUGUGAAGCAUGGCCUGAGCACCAACCUCCUUCUAGUUUCAUGGACACUAACGAAUUCUGAGUGGAGAUUGUCAUUGACCGUGAAGUCUGGUUUGACCUAGAGACUGAUAUAAGCAACACCCUGCAGCAUGACUUGCUUUUUGCAGCAGGAGAAGGAGUUUUCCCUGAAUCCUUUUACAACUAUGUUAUUUCUGCCAAGUUAGCAUUUAGUACAUUCUCCAAGUUUAACAUAAUCAGAUCUAAAUAGCUGACUAGAGGCAUCCUCACAGGCCUAAGCGAACACUACUGCUCUCCAAAUUAGUUUGCAGUAACAUGCAUCACUGCCUUCUGAUGUUUUAAAAUAUUGUUCUUUGAGGUCGUUUAGGAAAAAGAAUCUUCACGAUCCACCUGAAUUUGCAAACUUUGAACUUAGGUUCAAUUUGUUUGCAUUUUUAAAACCCUAUUGGAGGUAGCAUAAAGUUUCCAAUGACUAAAUGCUACCUUCAGCAGUUUCUCCAGCUUUGAAUGUGGCUCAGGAAGCUUAAUUGUAUGGUGGGGAAAGUGUCGUUCAGGGGCCGUUUGAAAGCAGAAGGAAAGAAAAUGAAGUAUAAGUGAUAAUUUUUAAAAAAUCACGUGGUCCUUUUUUACCUGUUUAUGCACAUCUUUCCACAAAUACCACUGAGGGGCUGAGAUUUUCUUCUUCUUUUGCUUAAUAUUUGAUUGACUAAUAUACGUACAUAGUACUUUGUGACAUAUUAUGGAAAAGUAAAUGAGUCCCUACAGAGAGGUUGUGAACUAAGGUUCAUUUCUCAUGGAACCAUGUGCCACAAACCACAUGAAAUCAGCAGAUCAAUAUUGAAUCAUGCUGGUUUUGUUAGAAUGAAGAUGAUUGUAUUUUACACCUAGCAGUGUGAGUGAAGACCUAGAAACACAAAGGCAAGUGAAAUCCUGAUUUUUGUUUUACUUUUGGAAAUUCCAGGUAGUUGAGGGAGAAAGAAAUUGAGAUGACACCUGUGUGUUUUUUGUUGUGAUAGGGAAAAGGAGCUACAUCAGCACACAGCUGGGGCACUACAAGCAGCCAUCGUUUCUUGGGGUGUCUCAUACUCACAUGUAAACCUGGUUUUAACACCUCAGUGAGAGUGGCUGUGUAUGUACACGUCAGCAAAUUAACUAGUUUUAUAAUUUAGUAGCAUGACAAAGCCUGACAGAAAGAGGUUGAGUUCCAGUUCCCAAGAAAAUGGGGAAUGUACUUCUCCAGACCUCAUAGAGGCAGGAUCCAGAGAGCUUCCACAGUCCUGGGCAAGGAAGAUCUGCAGCACUUUACUAAAGCCAAAGUAAAUUUAUGGGAAAUCCCCUCAUUGCAGAACUACCAGUGUGCCUAUUGCACAAGUGCCUAUUGCGUCUGCAUGCGAUGACCAGUCUACAAAGUGGAGCAAAUGAGGAAAGACUCCAUGCUCUUCUUGUGAGUAUCUCGAGAGUGAAAUAAUAUGCCCUUAAUAGAGAUUAGCUGUAGGUUUUAAGAAGACAGAGUUUGUAAUAUAUUUCACAUUUUAUCAGCCAAAGUUUUCAUGAUUCUUCCUAUUUGCUAGGUCCUCUGAUUCACAUCAAGUGAAGAUGCAGCUAAGGACUCUUUUUCUUACAAGUCUUUAAAUGUGGUGCUGACAUGCUUAUGUGAAACUUUGGCACUAUCCAUUUACUAUCUCUGCUUUCCUGAUUCUGAAUCUCAGCCCUAAUCAACAAAAUCGAAUCCUACUACAACACAGUAAAGAUAGAAUAAACUUCAAAGUUUCACACCUUAAAGGGACUAUCAGUUCUCUGUGGAAGGACAGCUGCUGGGCUUGCAUCUUGUCUGGAGUAAACAAGGUGCAUUUCCAUAUACAGGGAUCAUAGUCUAUCUAUCACCCAGUCUAAAGUGAAAAAAAAAUGAAUUCUAUAACACACAAUAACCAUUGUAAAUAUUAUCAUUUAUUACUGUAAUGAUGAACUUGUGGAAUACUUUUUUAACUGCCAAAUUUCUGAUAGGGCUUUACAGUAGUGUAGCAACCUGGGAACACCGCCUUGCAUGCUUCAUUACCUCAGAAUUAUGUACUGAGACCGAGAUGAAGAGUAAUAGAAUUAAAGAUGAAUCAUAUUAUUAUUACG
rnacentral:lncRNA from 7 species